rnacentral:rRNA from 1 species
AUUGAACGCUGGCGGCAGGCCUAACACAUGCAAGUCGAGCGGAGCGGCGGACGGGUGAGUAAUGCCUAGGAAUCUGCCUGGUAGUGGGGGAUAACGUCCGGAAACGGGCGCUAAUACCGCAUACUAUCAGAUGAGCCUAGGUAGGAUUAGCUAGUUGGUGGGGUAAAGGCCUACAAAGGCGACGAUCCGUAACUGGUCUGAGAGGAUGAUCAGUAACACUGGAACGGAGACACGGUCCAGAUUCCUACGGGAGGCAGCAGUGGGGAAUUUUGGACAAUGGGCGAAAGCCUGACCCAGCAAUGCCGCGGGGGUGAAGAAGUUUUUCGGAUUGUAAAGCACUUUAAGUUGGGAGGCGUUACCAACAGAAUAAGCACCGGCUAACUACGUGCCAGCAGCCGCGGUAAUAC